UGGAUGGAGUCUUCAAUAUUUCUAAAACUAGAGUCAUAUUUACUUUAAGCAGGAUGGAGCAAAUAUUUAAUUUAUUAUUUUUUUAUAACUCUCUCUCUUCUCUCGAUAUUUUCUCAUCAAACUACCAUCGGUUUCUUUCCCUCUAAGUUUUUCCCCACUUUCACCUCUCUACUUCUUUUCUUUGUUUUGCCCUCGUGAAAUCGUAGAACUGGGGAGAACACUGAAAUUUUGGACUGUACCAUUAGGCACACCAUCCAAACUCAAGUAUUUAUCUUCCAAAAAUUCCCAACGAGACUGGUCUUCACUCUGCAUGCCUUGUUGAAACCCUAACUUAAGCUUGGCUAGACGCCCAUUCUCUUUGCCCCAAGGUAUGCUAAUUUCUUUAUCUCUUUUAUUCAAUUUAUUCACCCUCCUAUUAUAUCAAUGCAAAAGCCCAAGCUACUUGAUUCUGGAAAUUUCCUUUGUCAUAUUUACAUGAAGUUUUUUAUUGGAUUCAUACGAAUAACUAGAGGUGUGCUAGACGCCCACUCUCUUUGCCCCAAGACUUGGCAAUAUGCAUUCAGUCUUUCAACAAAUCAUUCAGGUAUAUUGGUGCCUUGAAGCAGAUCAGUGAUUAUAACUGCUACAUGGGUUGUCUUUUAGAGCUUGUGGAUUACUAAACAGUAAACACUAGUUUGUUAUUGGUGACUUAGAGUCCGUCUCAUAAAAUUACUCUACAAACGCUAAAUCUAUUGAAGACCAAAAUCUCUCAUCUUCAUUUUGGGGAUGACUUACAUAUUUUUUGUAGAAGGGAAAGCGAACCUUUUUAGCUUGUGAACAUAGGCCAGAUAAUGUGUAGUACUGAUUUUUUUUUUUGAAGUGUGGAAUGGGGGUUACUCUGGCUUUUAUUGCAGCUAUCAAUGUCAACAUACACAUAGUGCCUCCUAUUUGAUUUCAAAUUCAAUGUAUGAAACUAGGAAGUACCCAGUCUACAUUUUGAUUGAAGUUUGAAUAGAAGAAAGUAUGAUUUGUAAUAUAGUUGGAUGGAAAAUAUAGAAAUU